AUUUUCGAGUUUAAUCUCUGUACUCACUGCAAAAAAAAAUUACAUUCAACUGAAUGGCAACCCAUGAAUUCAACUGAGUCUUGUGACUGCCAGCAUAUGUAUUAUACUCCAGUGUAAGAUCUAAGAAACACCAUUGCAGCCAAGGCAGGACUCUGAAAACCGAAAAACGCUAAGUUGAGCCCAUGUUAAAGAGUACUAGAAAGCAUUGCCAGUUCCUGUGGUCAGGAUGGGAAGCCACGAUGCUGAAUAAAAUCCUGUCAUGCUCAGUGCAUG